rnacentral:rRNA from 1 species
GACGAACGCUGGCGGCAUGCCUAACACAUGCAAGUCUAGGGGUAGCAAUACCACUGGCGCACGGGUGAGUAACACGUAGGUUAUCUGCCCCCAUCACAGACAUAACCCCGGGAAACCGGGGCUAAUAUCUGAUGAGGUCGCGAGAUCAAAGCUUCGGCGGAUGGGGAUGAGCCUGCGGCUGAUUAGCUAGUUGGUGAGGUAAUGGCUCACCAAGGCGACGAUCAGUAGCUGGUCUGAGAGGACGAACAGCCACACUGGAACUGAGACACGGUCCAGACUCCUACGGGAGCAGCAGUGAGGAAUA